rnacentral:rRNA from 1 species
GAUGAACGCUGGCGGCGUGCCUAAUACAUGCCAGUCGAGCGAACAGACGAGGAGCUUGCUCCUCUGACGUUAGCGGCGGACGGGUGAGGAACACGUGGAUAACCUACCUAUAAGACUGGGAUAACUUCGGGAAACCGGAGCUAAUACCGGAUAAUAUAUUGAACCGCAUGGUUCUAUAGUGAAAGCCGGUUUUGCUGUCACUUAUAGGUGGAUCCGCGCCGCAUUAGCUAGUUGGUAAGGUAACGGCUUACCAAGGCAACGAUGCGUAGCCGACCUGAGAGGGUGAUCAGCCACACUGGAACUGAGACACGGUCCAGACUCCUACGGGAGGCAGCAGUAGGGAAUCUUCCGCAAUGGGCGAAAGCCUGACGGAGCAACGCCGCGUGAGUGAUGAAGGUCUUCGGAUCGUAAAGCUCCGUUAUUAGGGAAGAACAAAUGUGUAAGUAACUAUGCACGUCUUGACGGUACCUAAUCAGAAAGCCACGGCUAACUACGUG